GUGCGGGAGACAGGAGGGCACUAGGCGACUCAGUCCUGAGUCUUGGCCCCCAGGCCACAGCCCGGGAGAGAGUGGCAGGGACCAGUCCCCGCCGCCCCGCGUGCGAGCCGUGGGCUCCGGGGUGCGGGGCCCAGGCCCCCUCGCGGGCGGGGAUCAAGAAUGCGGACCACCACCAAUUCGGCGCUCACUCAGGUUUUCCUUUUCAACCUUUGUGGGCAGAUACAUUGGCAAGUUCGGGAACUGGGGCUUGCGGCAGAAAGGGAACACGAAUUUUUUCAGCCUGCUGUAUGCCGGACCCUGAGCUUCACAACUAGCUGCUCCUCUCUUAGCAACGGGUACUAUCGCUCCCCGUAAACAGAAGCAGAAACUGGGGCCCUAAGGAGCCUUGGCAGCAACUUGCCAACGAUGUCUCGGCUACCGUGGGCCACCCGCAGAGCCUGGCUCUUUGGGAAGGAGAAAGCAAGUUCUCGCAAAGCCUCCCCGGGUUUGCUCCCCGGAGCCCUUCCAGUACACGCCUUGGGUAACAGUGCGGGGAGUGUGGGGGACACGGCAAAACCGGCCUCAGGGGCCCCCGUAUCUUAGAGCUGGCGGCGCACAGUCCGCGGCUUGAGGGUGGAAUUUUUGUUUCGUUUUGUUUUAAAGAAAGAAGAACUCGUUUGAAUAAUCAGAGCCCAAGCUGAGCUACCGGCUGGCUCCAAGUUUCUCGGAGUUGCCCUGCUGGUGAACUUUCCCCGACCGGCUCCCUCCCGGUCCGGGAGCCGCUUAUCUGGGUCCCCGAGCGCCAGCGGGCCGCGGCGGGGCUGGGGGACCAGCGCCCGGCCCCUCCGCCCCCUGGGGAAGCCGCGCUGGCUCCGCGCGCCCAGCGGACCGCCCGCCGCGCAGGCCUGUUCCCACCCUCGGACGGAGCGAGGGGCUUAAAACCCCAGCGGAGGCAAACGGUGGCUCUAGGCUCCAAAAGCCCAAGCGUGGAUUAUGCAGACAGGAGUGCAGAGCAGACAUCUGGUCAGCAGAGGGCACACUCGUCACUGUCAAACCUCAUUUCCAGAUUUGGAGGUGACAAUGGUAGGUGGGGGCAGGAAUGGUGGGCCGAGGCUCCUUUGAAUGGGGCUCCAAUGGAGAUCUAGAAAAGAAAUAGUCAUUUAUUGUCAGUAAACACCAAGAGAACAGGAGAGAACCUGUCACUAAGUUUUGCAACUAUAGAGUUUCUGAAAAGUAAUUGUAGCGCAGGACUGGAAAAACAGGCCUUUAAAAUCGUGACUUGAUGGGUAUGAGGUUGAGGUCAGAGUUUCCUCUGAAUGAAGACCCGAUGUUUGUUCUCUAUCCACGAUACCUAGAAACACCUAGGCCUUCGGAAAACCAGGAGGCAACUGGAAAUGCUGUAAAGAGCACUGGAUGUGACACUCUAAGCCCUUGGUUCUAGUACCUUCC
rnacentral:lncRNA from 1 species